AAAUACCUACGGGACGCAGCAGUGAGGAAUAUUGGUCAAUGGGCGGAAGCCUGAACCAGCCAAGUCGCGUGAGGGAAUAAGGCCCUACGGGUCGUAAACCUCUUUUGCCGGGGAGCAAGGGCCGGGACGCGUCCCGGCCCGGAGAGUACCCGGAGAAAAAGCAUCGGCUAACUCCGUGCCAGCAGCCGCGGUAAUACGGAGGAUGCGAGCGUUAUCCGGAUUUAUUGGGUUUAAAGGGUGCGUAGGCGGGCUUUUAAGUCAGCGGUAAAAAUUCGGGGCUCAACC
rnacentral:rRNA from 1 species